UACGUAGGUGACGAGCGUUAUCCGGAUUUACUGGGCGUAAAGCGCUUGUAGGUGGCUUUGUAAGUUGGGCGUGAAAACUCUGGGCUUAACCCAGAGACGCCGUCCAAUACUGCGAGGCUCGAGGAUGUCAGAGGAAGGUGGAAUUCCUGGUGUAGUGGUGAAAUGCGUAGAUAUCUGGAGGAACACCGGUGGCGAAGGCGGCAUCCUGGACCAAUUCUGACGCUGAGGAGCGAAAGCCAGGGGAGCAAACGGG
rnacentral:rRNA from 1 species